rnacentral:rRNA from 1 species
AGCUCCAGUAGCGUAUACUAAAGUUGUUGUGGUUAAAAAGCUCGUAGUUGGAUGUGUGUUGUGCGUUUGUGCGGGCGGGGCGGCCCUGGGUCGCCUGAUCGCCCCCGGCGCGGACAUGAGGCGCGGCGCGCGUGCGCGGCGGGCCCGAUUACUGUGAGAAAACCGAAGCGUUCCAGGCAGACCUACGUCUUGAACACUGUAGCAUGGAAUAAUGCGAUAGGACUCUGGCCCUAUUUCGUUGGCUUUGUCGGUCGGAGUAAUGAUUGGUAGGGACAGUUGGGGGUGCUAGUACUCUGCGGCCAGCGGUGAAAUGCUGUGAUUCGCGGAAGACUGACUAUUGCGAAAGCAUUCACCAAGGAUGUCUUCU